UCUUCGUAGUCUGGGGUGGUCGCGAAGAUCCGGGGCGAGCCCCCAAAUGAAAGAUUCCUGAAGAGAGACCCUUAUUCAAGUCUUGGGAAAUCGCAGACCCCAGACACAAAGAGACCA
rnacentral:pre_miRNA from 14 species